rnacentral:rRNA from 1 species
GUGGAUUAGAUACCCUAGUAGUCCACGCCCUAAACGAUGUCUACUAGUUGUUGGGAGAGUAAAAUCUCUUAGUAACGCAGCUAACGCGUGAAGUAGACCGCCUGGGGAGUACGGUCGCAAGAUUAAAACUCAAAGGAAUUGACGGGGGCCCGCACAAGCGGUGGAUUAUGUGGAUUAAUUCGAUGCAACGCGAAAAACCUUACCUGGCCUUGACAUGCCGAGAACAUUGCAGAGAUGCGAUGGUGCCCGAAAGGGAACUUGGACACAGGUGCUGCACGGUCGUCGACAACU